rnacentral:lncRNA from 1 species
GACUGGGAAGGUGGGAAGUGGGAGGACCGUCCAACAUGGCGCUGUGGAAAGCCAGCGCAGGGCCCCAGGGGAUCUUCCGGGGCGGAUGCAGCUGCCUAGGAGUGCUGGGGCUCGCGCGCCUCGGCGGCUCAAACUCUGACCCCUUGAGAUCCUUUCCAGCCCGACCCCUUACUUUAGGGGUCAGCCUGCCCCCGUAAGUCCUGUUAUUUAUUGUAUUUAUAUUCUUUUUUUAGUUGGUCCUUUUUUGUUUGUUUUUGAGACGGAGUUUCACUCUUGUUGCCCAGGCUGGAGUGCCAUGGCGCGAUCUCAGCUCACUCCAAUCUCUGCCCUCCGGGUUCAAGCGAUUCUCCAGCCUCAGCCUCCCGAGUAGCUGGAAUUACAGGCGCGCGCCAACACGUCCGGCUAAUUUUCGUAUUUGUAGUAGAGACGGGGGUUUCGCCACCUUGGCCAGGCUGGUCUAGAACUCCUGACCUUAGGUGAUCCACCCGCCUCGGCCUCCUAAAGUGCUGGGAUUACAGGCGUGAGCCACCGCCCCUCACGCCUGGCUAGUUUGUCCUUUUCAUGGGGACUUUUUAUUGUACGCGGGUUACUCUGAAAAAGAUCGCGAUUCGUCCCCUCGCCCUGCAGGCGCCGCUGCCGCCUCGCCUCGGGCGUGGACCCUGCGGCUCGGGCCUGCGCGUGUGCACCCCGAGGUUGUCUCACUUCCUGUUCAGGGCGACCAGCGCUGCGCCCUCCCCACUCCACAGAUGAGGAAGCUGAGGUUAAAGUCACUUGCCCCAGGUCACUCCGCAAGUUGAAGCGCAACCAGGAUACUCUGGAACAGGAUGCCUGACUUCAGAGGAGAGGCGCGUAACCACCAGGCAACUGGCCCCACGAAAACAAGUCCCGCAACUUCCCUUCUUUGGCUCCUACUUGCUCCCGGAAGAAAAGCCUUAAACGACAGCAGAUCAGGAGCACCCCGCGCGCCCCCCCCCGCCCCGCCCCGCGUCGGCGCCGGCCCCCUGCAAUGGUUGGCGGUAUGGGGAGGUGAACCAAGAAGGCCAGGAGUUCAAGUGCGUGAUCCCCCACUGGGGCAUAUAGGUUACAGCCGCCAGGGCAACUGAAACUCCUCAGGCUCCAGAGGGCUGAAGUGAGUCGCCUCCACGUUCUUGAGGUGCUUCCGAGCCAGGAACAGUGCGAGGCGCCGGCGCCGCCGCGAGCUCAGGCCCUGGCCCACCAGCCAUGGGAAGGCGGGUCCGUGUGGCCCCAGGGCCUCCUCGCCCUCCAGCUCCUCUUCGCAGCGUGCACGGUAGGAGCGCAGCAGCGCCAGGCACCAGUCCUCGUCCACGCGGUAGCGUGCAUAGAAGGCGGCCUCCUGCGCCAAGCUGCCAGCGCGCAGCCAGCGGGUGACGACGGCGCGGCCCUCUCGCGCCAUCACGACGGGGUAGCGGUGCUCCAGCAGGCGCAGCAGCAGCUCAUUGCCCCGGUUGCCCUCCACGUCACCAGGUGACAGGGGGCGCAGGCGGCCCGAAGUGCUGACCACGUCAUCCUGCGUGCGUCGGAGCAGCAGCACCGGCCCCGGGUAGCAGCACAGCUGCUCGGCCACGUUGAGGUUGAAGUGCUCGCGCACGGUGCGCACCACCAGCCCCUUCCAACUGUGGGGCAUGACCUUCAGCGCCAGCGGCACAAGGUCGUCGAAGGUGGCGUCCAGCACCAGUGCACCCAGCUCCGGGUAGGUCAUGGUGGCCCAGGUGGCCGUGAAGCCGCCAACAGACCAGCCGUAGACCACCAGGUGCGCGGGCGGGAAGUGCAGGCGGUGCAGUGCGUACUCGACCACCACGUCCAUGGCGUUGGCGUCGUGCUGAGGGAAGGGCACGCCAGUGCUGCUGCCGAAGCCGGGGUGGUUCCAGCCCAGCACGGAGUAGCCGGCCUCGAGCGGUGCAGACAGACAGCCCAUCUCGUAGAAGCCCGCGUUGCCUUCGCAGCAGAUGACGAGGCGCGGCCCGUGCACGUGGCUGCCCGGGUGCUGGCGGCGGUCCAUGAACAUAGUGUCGAUCUCGUUGCCGUCACAGGCCACCAGCUUGGCGCGCCGGCCGUGGUAGCGCUCCACGAGGCGCUCUUGGCCCUGCUGCAGCAGCGGCAGCAGCGCGCGCGUCAUCAGGGACACGGAGCCGGGGUACACGAGCCAGCGGCCCAGCGAGUGGGCCAGCGCGUAGCUAGCGAGCUGGCCGGGCAGCUCGCGGAGCUGCUGCAAGAGGCACUGCGCCUGGCUGCGCGCCCCACGUGGAGGCCGCCCCAGCGCAUCCCCGCCCAGCGUCUCGUCCCGCAGCAACCACACGCCCGCCGCGGCUGCCGCGCAGGUCAGCGCCCGGUGGCUGCUGCUCCGGCCCACGGCGCGCACGUCAUCCCAGCGGAAGGCCACGGGCCAGCCGCGGAAUGGGUAGGUGUAGCUGGCGGUCAGGUAGAUCUUGAACACGCGCACCAGCGCCUUCACGAAGCAGAUGACGCACAUGAGCGGUGGCCCUAACGCCCAGCCGCUGGGCCGGGAUCGCCGCGAGAGGCACAGGGCAGUCUUAGGGGAUACCGGCUCCCGGACAAGCCCUGAUGGCCUUUGUGACCUGGCCUUCCAGGGCGGAGGGAAGGCUGCAUCCUGUUGCUAGGUGAUGGGUGCACAAAGGGUUCCCAGAGAUGAUGAACCCAAGGUUCUGCCCGUCCCCCGCCUUCGCCAAGACCCCACCAGCUAAACGCUCCCAGGCCCAGCUUUCCCACCCAUGAUUUGAGCAGCUACUGUCUCCCUCUUUCUUCCUUAUUUAUUUAUUAAAUUGAGAUGGGGUCUCACUAUGCUGCCUAGGCUGGUCUUGAACCCCUGGGCUCAAGCGAUCCUCCCGCCUCCACCUCCCACAGUGUUGGGAUUACAGGUGUGAGUCCCUGCACCCCGCCUCCACCUCCCACAGUGUUGGGAUUACAGGUGUGAGUCCCUGCACCCCGCCUCCCUCUUCCUUAAAUUUAAGAUGGACAGCCCCACGGGCCAAAAAGGGACAGCAAGGCCUCCUCCGCCUGUACCAGGCUUGCUGUGGGUCCUGCAAGUUUCCCUUCAGGGUCUGCUGGUUUAAACCUCAUCUCCCCAGGACGGCCGGGGUCAGAGACAGGGCUGCUGCUGCACCAAAAAGGCGGUAUUUGCUCUCGGCCCGGCCCCUCCUCUCCACACCUUCCUUCUUCGGUGCUGACCAGAAACAAGCCCUCUCCUUUUCUGGAUCCUCUUUUCACUGGCUGCCAGCAACAGCAGUGACCUUCUGGGGCGGGUCCUGCCUGGCUGGGGUUCCUCUUUCUCGCUCCUGGGUCGAGCCCCCACUCCCAGGCUGCGCCUCCCUCUUUUCUGGAGAGGUAUCUUUUCUCCUGCCCUGGAAAGGGCCAGCCCACCUGAGGGCAGGGUCGGAAGCCGCCUGCCAGGAGGAGCCCCAGGGAAGAGGGCAGCUCCAGGUACUCAACAGCUCCCCAGACCAGAAACAAACAUGCUACAAUCAGGGAGUUUGGCAAAUCCAGCCAGAGCCUCUGAGCCCAGGUGCCAGGCCCGCCUGGGACCCCAGCCUUCUGGGGAAGGGGUAGUUUCAGGCUGAAGCACCCCCUCUCUGCUCUCCUGCUCAGCGUCUGGGUUAGAGGCACUGCCUGACCCUAACAGGCCCCGCCCCUAGUUGGGGGAGUCAGCUGCUGCCUUUAGGGGUUGGGGGACAGAAGACAGGGACCAAUUAACAAAGGGAGCGAUUUGGGGGGCUAUUACCCCCAUUCUAGGUUGCCAGAUAAAAUACAGAAUAAUAUGCCAGUUAAAUUGGAAUUACAAAUAAACAAAUACUUUUUGGGUAUAAGUAUGUUCCAACUUCUGCUUGAGACAUUAUUUUAAAAUUGUUUAUCUGAAAUUCAAAUUUAACUGGAUAUCCUGUUUUUUCUGUUUGUUUGUUUGUUUGUUUUUGAGACGGAGUCUCACUCUUGUCGCCCAGGCUGGAGUGCAAUGGUGCAAUCUCAGCUCACUGCAACCUCUGCCUCCUGGGUGUUCAAGCAAUUCUCCUGCCUCAGCCUCCCAAGUAGCUGGGAUUACAGGUGCCCGCCACCAUGCCCGGC